UGGUUGCACUCAUAUUUCUUCUUCCCUUCAUUUCUGAAUGCUAUUGGAUGUGCUUCAAACGGUGUUUUGGUUUCAGCUUCAGUACUCUGUUGUCAUGCUUAUAUGCUUGAGAUAUAUAGUGGUAAAGAUCUGUGUUGGUUAUUUGCUGCAGGCCCAUAUGAGGUUAUUUCAAAUUAGCUCCAUCUCCUUUUGAACGAAUUUUGAUGGAAGGAAAAAGUUUUGAGUGGUGUGGUAAUAAGAUGAGUAUUCGAAUGUCCAAACUGGAAUUCUUUUGCAACAGACCCACUCUUGUUGCCUUAAUUGGUUUUGGCUUGGAUUUAAGCGCUGUGAAUCAUAUAGGAAGCAGUACAGAUAUGACCAAAGCUUCAGAAGAUGAUUGAAUGGUCCAACAUGAGUGAAUCAUGAAAAGGAAUCAUCAUACCUUUGGUGUUAUGUGCAUGUUACAACAGCGAAGAACAGGAUAGGUGGAGCUUGGAACGCACACUAGUCAAUCUCAUGGUGCCACUCUUGCAUGGAAUCACAGUUAUGAUUGGCUUAUAUUGCUGCUUCUUGCCGUGAUAGAAGUAGUUGUAUAUAUCAUUGGCCCAUUUCACUGCUUUGUGGGAAAGGAUAUGAUGACAGACCUCAAGUAUCCCAUGAAAGGAAUCACAGUUCCUGUAUGGUCUGUUCCGGGGUUUGAUGUGCAUACAUAGGAUGAAGAUUGUUCAUCGUUAUAUAAAGAGUGCAAAUUGCCUUGUGAAUAAGAAUUGGACUGUCAAGAUCUGUGAUUUCGGGCUCUCAAGGAUAGUAACAGAAUCACCAAUGAAAGAUGCUUCAUCUGCUGCUCAUCAAAGAGAUGGAACAUCUAGAUCGUUUAAGAGGGGAAUGAGAAAGAGUUGACAGUGUUAUUAUAGUGUAUUAUAGUGUUAAGACAGUGUUAUAUUUCACUUCAUAGAAAAUGUAUGUAAAUUUAUUGAUUCACAGUUUUUCCUUGAAAGAUAAGUCCUGAUCUUUAUUUGCUUUUCUUUUAUUUUUCCUUUCUCAUAAUAUUCCAAAACCAAAUAUAGACUGUAUUAUGUUAUUAUUAUUCCAUUUGCAUCAAAUCGAAAA